UUGGCGUGUUGGGUUCCAUCAAUAUACUUGCACUUCCAUGAUCAACCAAAAUAUUGAGGUGGCAUGGAACUUGAAGAUGAAAUUCUUACACCAAAGCACAAACAUCCUUAGGUUACAUUACCUAUUAACUUAUCUUCUAAAAUCCAUUCCAACGAUACCCAGUUUUAAGUUUUAAAUUCUCAUCAGCUCUUCUUCUUCUUGGUGCUUGAUUCAGGAAAAGGAUAGUUUUCAAGCUGUGUUGAUGGAGCACCUGAGAAUGAGCGGUGCAUAUUGGGGUUUGACCACUCUUGAUCUUGUGGGAAAGCUUGGAGCUGUGGAUCGAGAUGAGAUUGUUUCAUGGGUUAUGCAGUGCCAACAUGAGUCUGGUGGCUUUGCUGGUAAUAUUGGGCAUGAUCCCACAUGCUCUACACGCUUAGUGCUGUGCAAGUUUUGGUUCUCCUUGACAAGCUCGAUGUUCUGGACAUCGACAAGCUAUCGAACUACAUCGCCGGACUGCAAAAUGAAGAUGGAUCAUUUGCAGGAGACAUUUGGGGUGAAAUUGAUACUAGGUGCAGGAGACAUUUGGGGUGAAAUAUGGUUUGGUCCUUUUUAGGUUUUCUUAUAUCGCAAUUUCAUGUCUCUCGCUAUUGCACCGUUUGGAUAAAAUCAAUGUGGAGAAAGCUGUUGAAUACAUUGUGAGCUGUAAGAAUUUGUGAUGUAGGACAUCCUACUCUAUUUCCUAUUAUAGUUCUUCUUAGAACUUCCUAUCAUAUUUCUUUAUUUAGGAUUUCCUUUCCUAGUUUUAGUGUGUUUCCUAGUUUGGUUUGAUUUCCUUUUCUAGUCCUAAUUAUAUUUAGAAUCCUUAAAGCCUAUAUAAGAAGGCAUAGACAUAGCAGAUAUGUACAA